rnacentral:rRNA from 1 species
UACGUAGGGUCCGAGCGUUGUCCGGAAUUAUUGGGCGUAAAGAGCUCGUAGGCGGUUUGUCGCGUCUGCUGUGAAAUCCCGAGGCUCAACCUCGGGCCUGCAGUGGGUACGGGCAGACUGGAGUGCGGUAGGGGAGAAUGGAAUUCCUGGUGUAGCGGUGGAAUGCGCAGAUAUCAGGAGGAACACCGAUGGCGAAGGCAGUUCUCUGGGCCGUAACUGACGCUGAGGAGCGAAAGCGUGGGGAGUGAACAGG